rnacentral:rRNA from 1 species
AUUGAACGCUGGCGGCAUGCCUUACACAUGCAAGUCGAACGGCAGCGCGGGUGCUUGCACCUGGUGGCGAGUGGCGAACGGGUGAGUAAUACAUCGGAACGUACCUUAUCGUGGGGGAUAACGCAGCGAAAGCUGUGCUAAUACCGCAUACGCCCUGAGGGGGAAAGCGGGGGAUCGCAAGACCUCGCGCGAUUAGAGCGGCCGAUGCCUGAUUAGCUUGUUGGUGGGGUAAAAACCAACCAAGGCGACGAUCAGUAGCUGGUCUGAGAGGACGAUCAGCCACACUGGGACUGAGACGCGGCCCAGACUCCUGCGGGAGGCAGAAGUGGGGAAUUUUGGACAAUGGGGGCAACCCUGAUCCAGCAAUGCCGCGUGAGUGAAGAAGGCCUUCGGGUUGUAAAGCUCUUUUGUCAGGGAAGAAACACCGGCUCUAACACAGUCCGGGAAUGACGGUACCUGAAGAAUAAGCACCGGCUAACUACGUGCCAGCCGCCGCAGUAA